rnacentral:rRNA from 1 species
GAUGAACGCUGGCGGCGUGCCUAAUACAUGCAAGUCGAGCGAACAGACGAGGAGCUUGCCCCUCUGACGUUAGCGGCGGACGGGUGAGUAACACGUGGAUAACCUACCUAUAAGACUGGGAUAACUUCGGGAAACCGGAGCUAAUACCGGAUAAUAUAUUGAACCGCAUGGUUCAAUAGUGAAAGACGGUUUUGCUGUCACUUAUAGAUGGAUCCGCGCCGCAUUAGCUAGUUGGUAAGGUAACGGCUUACCAAGGCAACGAUGCGUAGCCGACCUGAGAGGGUGAUCGGCCACACUGGAACUGAGACACGGUCCAGACUCCUACGGGAGGCAGCAGUAGGGAAUCUUCCGCAAUGGGCGAAAGCCUGACGGAACAACGCCGCGUGAGUGAUGAAGGUCUUCGGAUCGUAAAACUCUGUUAUUAGGGAAGAACAAAUGUGUAAGUAACUAUGCACGUCUUGACGGUACCUAAUCAGAAAGCCACGGCUAACUACGUG